UAGUGUUCGUCACGGCGACCAGAUGGCACCAGCAGACAUGGAGCCCCUGGCCAGUGUGAGUCGUAGCAGAGGAGAGAGCUCGCCUAAGUUGAUGGCUGCAGAUUGAAUUUCCAGAGUCUUAGGAGGAAGUUCUCCA
rfam:Myotis brandtii contig193754, whole genome shotgun sequence.